rnacentral:rRNA from 1 species
GACGAACGCUGGCGGCGUGCUUAACACAUGCAAGUCGAACGGAAAGGCCUCUUUCGGGGGGUACUCGAGUGGCGAACGGGUGAGUAACACGUGAGUAACCUGCCCUUGACGUUGGGAUGACUUCAGGAAACUGGGGCUAAUACCGGAUAGGAGCUCCUGCUGCAUGGUGGGGGUUGGAAAGUUUCGGCGGUUGGGGAUGGACUCGCGGCUUAUCAGCUUGUUGGUGGGGUAGUGGCUUACCAAGGCUUUGACGGGUAGCCGGCCUGAGAGGGUGACCGGCCACAUUGGGACUGAGAUACGGCCCAGACUCCUACGGGAGGCAGCAGUGGGGAAUAUUGCACAAUGGGUGGAAGCCUGAUGCAGCAACGCCGUGUGCGGGAUGACGGCCUUCGGGUUGUAAACCGCUUUCGCUCAUGACGAAGCUUUGUGUGACGUUAGUGGGUAAAGAAGCACCGGCUAACUACGUG